GGUAUGUUAGUUCAGUCUGGUUAGAACAAUAGAUUAAUCGUAGGUUCGAAUCCUACACACAUUU
rnacentral:tRNA from 2 species